rnacentral:rRNA from 1 species
UUAAGUUAAUAAGGGCGCACGGUGGAUGCCUUGGCACUAGGAGCCGACGAAGGACGUGACAAACGACGAUAUGCCUUGGGUAGCUGUAAGUAAGCGAUGAUCCAGGGAUUUCCGAAUGGGGGAACCCAACAGGUAAUACCUGUUACCUACAUCUGUUAAGGAUGUGAGGAGGAAGACGCAGUGAACUGAAACAUCUAAGUAGCUGCAGGAAGAGAAAGCAAAAGCGAUUGCCUUAGUAGCGGCGAGCGAAACGGCAGAAGGGCAAACCGAAGAGUUUACUCUUCGGGGUUGUAGGACUGCAAUGUGGACUCAAAGAUUAUAGAAGAAUGAUUUGGGAAGAUCAGCCAAAGAGAGUAAUAGCCUCGUAUUUAAAAUAGUCUUUGUACUUAGCAGUAUCCUGAGUACGGCGGGACACGUGAAAUCCCGUCGGAAUCUGGGAGGACCAUCUCCCAACCCUAAAUACUCCCUAGUGACCGAUAGUGAACCAGUACCGUGAGGGAAAGGUGAAAAGCACCCCGGGAGGGGAGUGAAAUAGAACCUGAAACCGUGUGCCUACAACAAGUUCGAGCCCGUUAAUGGGUGAGAGCGUGCCUUUUGUAGAAUGAACCGGCGAGUUACGUUAUGAUGCGAGGUUAAGUUGAAGAGACGGAGCCGUAGGGAAACCGAGUCUGAAUAGGGCGCCUUAGUAUCAUGACGUAGACCCGAAACCAUGUGACCUACCCAUGAGCAGGUUGAAGGUGCGGUAAGACGCACUGGAGGACCGAACCAGGGCACGUUGAAAAGUGCUUGGAUGACUUGUGGGUAGCGGAGAAAUUCCAAACGAACUUGGAGAUAGCUGGUUCUCUCCGAAAUAGCUUUAGGGCUAGCGUCGACAUUAGAGAUUCUUGGAGGUAGAGCACUGUUUGGGUGAGGGGUCCAUCCCGGAUUACCAAUCUCAGAUAAACUCCGAAUGCCAAUGAAUUAUGGUCGGCAGUCAGACUGCGAGUGCUAAGAUCCGUAGUCGAAAGGGAAACAGCCCAGACCACCAGCUAAGGUCCCAAAAUAAUUGUUAAGUGGAAAAGGAUGUGGGGUUGCACAGACAACUAGGAUGUUAGCUUAGAAGCAGCUAUUCAUUCAAAGAGUGCGUAAUAGCUCACUAGUCGAGUGACCCUGCGCCGAAAAUGUACCGGGGCUAAAACAAUUUACCGAAGCUGUGGAUACCUUUAUAGGUAUGGUAGGAGAGCGUUCUAUGUGUGAUGAAGGUAUACCGUGAGGAGUGCUGGAACGCAUAGAAGUGAGAAUGCCGGUAUGAGUAGCGAAAGACAGGUGAGAAUCCUGUCCACCGUAAGACUAAGGUUUCCAGGGGAAGGCUCGUCCGCCCUGGGUUAGUCGGGACCUAAGGAGAGACCGAAAGGUGUAUCCGAUGGACAACAGGUUGAUAUUCCUGUACUAGAGUAUGUAGUGAUGGAGGGACGCAGUAGGCUAACUAAAGCAGACGAUUGGAAGAGUCUGUCUAAGCAGUGAGGUGUGAAUUGAGUCAAAUGCUUAAUUCUAUAACAUUGAGCUGUGAUGGGGAGCGAAGUUUAGUAGCGAAGUUAGUGACGUCACACUGCCAAGAAAAGCUUCUAGCGUUUAAACAUACUCUACCCGUACCGCAAACCGACACAGGUAGUCGAGGCGAGUAGCCUCAGGUGAGCGAGAGAACUCUCGUUAAGGAACUCGGCAAAAUGACCCCGUAACUUCGGGAGAAGGGGUGCUGACUUAAAGUCAGCCGCAGUGAAUAGGCCCAAGCAACUGUUUAUCAAAAACACAGCUCUCUGCUAAAUCGUAAGAUGAUGUAUAGGGGGUGACGCCUGCCCGGUGCUGGAAGGUUAAGAGGAGUGCUUAGCGUAAGCGAAGGUAUGAAUUGAAGCCCCAGUAAACGGCGGCCGUAACUAUAACGGUCCUAAGGUAGCGAAAUUCCUUGUCGGGUAAGUUCCGACCCGCACGAAAGGCGUAAUGAUUUGGGCACUGUCUCAACGAGAGACUCGGUGAAAUUUUAGUGCCUGUGAAGAUGCAGGUUACCCGCGACAGGACGGAAAGACCCCAUGGAGCUUUACUGCAGUUUGAUAUUGAGUGUCUGUACCACAUGUACAGGAUAGGUAGGAGUCUAAGAGAUCGGGACGCCAGUUUCGAAGGAGACGCUGUUGGGAUACUACCCUUGUGUUAUGGCCACUCUAACCCAGAUAGGUGAUCCCUAUCGGAGACAGUGUCUGACGGGCAGUUUGACUGGGGCGGUCGCCUCCUAAAAGGUAACGGAGGCGCCCAAAGGUUCCCUCAGAAUGGUUGGAAAUCAUUCGCAGAGUGUAAAGGUAUAAGGGAGCUUGACUGCGAGAGCUACAACUCGAGCAGGGACGAAAGUCGGGCUUAGUGAUCCGGUGGUUCCGUAUGGAAGGGCCAUCGCUCAACGGAUAAAAGCUACCCUGGGGAUAACAGGCUUAUCUCCCCCAAGAGUUCACAUCGACGGGGAGGUUUGGCACCUCGAUGUCGGCUCGUCGCAUCCUGGGGCUGUAGUCGGUCCCAAGGGUUGGGCUGUUCGCCCAUUAAAGCGGCACGCGAGCUGGGUUCAGAACGUCGUGAGACAGUUCGGUCCCUAUCCGUCGCGGGCGUAGGAAAUUUGAGAGGAUCUGCUCCUAGUACGAGAGGACCAGAGUGGACUUACCGCUGGUGUACCAGUUGUCUUGCCAAAGGCAUCGCUGGGUAGCUAUGUAGGGAAGGGAUAAACGCUGAAAGCAUCUAAGUGUGAAACCCACCUCAAGAUGAGAUUUCCCAUGAUUAUAUAUCAGUAAGAGCCCUGAGAGAUGAUCAGGUAGAUAGGUUAGAAGUGGAAGUGUGGCGACACAUGUAGCGGACUAAUACUAAUAGCUCGAGGACUUAUCCAA